UCUGGUUGAUCCUGCCAGUAGUUAUAUGCUUGUCUCAAAGAUUAAGCCAUGCAUGUCUAAGUACACACGAAUUAAAAGUGAAACCGCAAAAGGCUCAUUAUCAGUUAUGGUUCCUUAGAUCGUUAACAGUUACUAGGAUAACUGUGGUAAUUCUAGAGCUAAUACAUGCAAUUAAACACGGACCUUAUGGGACGUGUGCUUUUAUUAGGCUAAAACCAAGCGAUCGCAAGAUCGUUACAUUGGUUGAACUCUAGAUAACAUGCAGAUCGUAUGGUCUUGUACCGACGACAGAUCUUUCAAAUGUCUGCCCUAUCAACUUUUGAUGGUAGUAUCUAGGACUACCAUGGUUGCAACGGGUAACGGGGAAUCAGGGUUCGAUUCGGAGAGGGAGCCUGAGAAACGGCUACCACAUCUAAGGAAGGCAGCAGGCGCGUAAAUUACCCACUCCCAGCUCGGGGAGGUAGUGACGAAAAAUAACAAUACAGGACUCAUAUCCGAGGCCCUGUAAUUGGAAUGAGUACACUUUAAAUCCUUUAACAAGGACCAAUUGGAGGGCAAGUCUGGUGCCAGCAGCCGCGGUAAUUCCAGCUCCAAUAGCGUAUAUUAAAGUUGUUGCGGUUAAAACGUUCGUAGUUGAACUUGUGCUUCAUACGGGUAGUACAACUUACAAUUGUGGUUAGUACUAUACCUUUAUGUAUGUAAGCGUAUUACCGGUGGAGUUCUUAUAUAUAAUUAAGUACUUGUAUUUUUUAUAUAUUCCUCCUAUUUAAAAACCUGCAUUAGUGCUCUUCAUCGAGUGUUAUUGUGGGCCGGUACAAUUACUUUGAACAAAUUAGAGUGCUUAAAGCAGGCUUCAAAUGCCUGAAUAUUCUGUGCAUGGGAUAAUGAAUAAGACCUCUGUUCUGCUUUCAUUGGUUUUCAGAUCAGAGGUAAUGAUUAAUAGAAGCAGUUUGGGGGCAUUAGUAUUACGACGCGAGAGGUGAAAUUCUUGGACCGUCGUAAGACUAACUUAAGCGAAAGCAUUUGCCAAAGAUGUUUUCAUUAAUCAAGAACGAAAGUUAGAGGUUCGAAGGCGAUCAGAUACCGCCUAGUUCUAACCAUAACGAUGCCAGCUAGCAAUUGGGUGUAGCUACUUUUAUGGCUCUCUCAGUCGCUUCCCGGGAAACCAAAGCUUUUGGGCUCCGGGGGAAGUAUCAUAGCUAUGGGCAUACAUUGGUUAAUGCAACAGCCUAAAAGUACAAUGUUGUACCUGAUUUCAGGUUAAUACUUUAUAUAAAUUGAUAAUUAUCAAACAAGCCAAAAUACAUAUUAUAUUAUUUAACAAUAUGGUAAUAUAUCGCUUAUAUGAAACUAAGACAUUUCGCAACAUUCUUUUAGGAUAAAACUAAAAUUUAUUGAAGGAAUUGAUAUGCCAGUAAAAUGGUGUAUUUUUAAUUUCUUUCAAUAAAGACAUAUCUGACAAAUAAAUGAAUAAACAAAUUUUAAUCACUCUAAGCGGUGGAUCACUCGGCUCAUGGGUCGAUGAAGAACGCAGCAAACUGUGCGUCAUCGUGUGAACUGCAGGACACAUGAACAUCGACAUUUUGAACGCAUAUCGCAGUCCAUGCUGUUUGGUACUUUAAUUAAUUUUAUAGUGCUGCUUGGACUACAUAUGGUUGAGGGUUGUAAGACUAUGCUAAAUAAGUUGUUUAAAAAUUUUACGAAAUUUUUAAGCAUAUUGUAUAUUAUUGGAUAUGUAUAUAUAUAUAUAUAUAGUUAAAUAUUCGCAACUCGAUUUUUAAGUUUUUUAACAAAGACUUUUAUUUUACAACUUAAAUAUCUUUAUGGCACAAGAUUUAAAUGAAUUCCCCGACUUGACUUUCGGUCU
rnacentral:rRNA from 1 species